UACGUAGGGUGCAAGCGUUGUCCGGAAUUAUUGGGCGUAAAGAGCUCGUAGGCGGUUUGUCGCGUCUGCUGUGAAAACUCGGGGCUUAACUCCGGGCCUGCAGUGGGUACGGGCAGACUAGAGUGCGGUAGGGGAGACUGGAAUUCCUGGUGUAGCGGUGAAAUGCGCAGAUAUCAGGAGGAACACCGGUGGCGAAGGCGGGGUCUCUGGGCCG
rnacentral:rRNA from 1 species